rnacentral:rRNA from 1 species
GACGAACGCUGGCGGCGUGCUUAACACAUGCAAGUCGAGCGAUGAAGCUCCUUCGGGAGUGGAUUGGCGGCGGACGGGUGAGUAACACGUGGGUAACCUGCCUCAUAGAGGGGAAUAGCCUUCCGAAAGGAAGAUUAAUACCGCAUAAGAUUGUAGUACCGCAUGGUAUAGCAAUUAAAGGAGUAAUCCGCUAUGAGAUGGACCCGCGUCGCAUUGGCUAGUUGGUGAGGUAACGGCUCACCAAGGCGACGAUGCGUAGCCGACCUGAGAGGGUGAUCGGCCACAUUGGGACUGAGACACGGCCCAGACUCCUACGGGAGGCAGCAGUGGGGAAUAUUGCACAAUGGGGGAAACCCUGAUGCAGCAACGCCGCGUGAGUGAUGACGGUCUUCGGAUUGUAAAACUCUGUCUUCAGGGACGAUAAUGACGGUACCUGAGGAGGAAGCCACGGCUAACUACGUGCCAGCCGCCGCAGUAA